rnacentral:rRNA from 1 species
UUGGAGGGCAAGUCUGGUGCCAGCAGCCGCGGUAAUUCCAGCUCCAAUAGCGUAUAUUAAAGUUGUUGCAGUUAAAAAGCUCGUAGUUGAAUUUCGGGAUCAAAUUGUCGGUCGUGCCUCGGUACGCACUGUUAUUAUUGGUUCCUACCUUCUGAAGAACCGCGAUGUCAUUAAUUUGGUGUCGUGGGGAAUCAGGACUGUUACUUUGAAAAAAUUAGAGUGUUUAAAGCAGGCUUACGCUUGAAUACAUUAGCAUGGAAUAAUGAAAUAGGACGUUUGAUCUAUUUUGUUGGUUUCUAGGAUUGACGUAAUGAUUAAUAGGGAUAGUUGGGGGCAUUAGUAUUCAAUUGUCAGAGGUGAAAUUCUUGGAUUUAUUGAAGACUAACUACUGCGAAAGCAUUUGCCAAGGAUGUUUUCAUUAAUCAAGAACGAAAGUUAGGGGAUCGAAGACGAUCAGAUACCGUCGUAGUCUUAACCAUAAACUAAGCCGACUAGGGAUCGGAUGAUGUUAAUUUUUUAAUGACUCAUUCGGCGCCUUACGGGAAACCAAAGUGUUUGGGUUC